GGCCCAGUGGUCUAGUCGUAUGAUUCGCGCUUCGGGUGUAUAUCCCAGUCACGUGACUGCCAUGCGCGAGGCCCCGGGUUCAAUUCCCGGCUGAGCCC
rfam:Exidia glandulosa HHB12029 unplaced genomic scaffold EXIGLscaffold_459, whole genome shotgun sequence.